rnacentral:rRNA from 1 species
AUUGAACGCUGGCGGCAUGCCUUACACAUGCAAGUCGAACGGCAGCGCGGGAACAAUCCUGGCGUCGCGUUGCGGACGGGCGAGUAAGACAUCGGUACAUGCCCAAUCUAGGGGGAUGACGCAACGACAGCUGUGCUAAUACCACAUACGAUCUACUGAUGAAACCCGUGGAUCGCAAGACCUUGCCCGAAUUGCUCGGCCGAUGGCAGAUUAGGUAGUUGGUGAGGUAACGGCUCACCAAGCCUGCGAUCUGUAGCUGGUCUGAGAGGACGACCAGCCACACUGGGACUGAGACACGGCCCAGACUCCUACGGGAGGCAGCAGUAGGGAAUUUUGGACAAUGGGCGAAAGCCUGAUCCAGCAAUGCCGCGUGAAGGAUGAAGGCCUUCGGGUUGUAAACUGCUUUUGUACGGAAAGAAACGGUCUUUUAUAAUAAAGAAGGAUAAUGACGGUACCGAAAGAAUAAGCAACGGCUAACUACGUG